AUUUCUGCCAGUAGUCAUAUGCUUGUCUCAAAGAUUAAGCCAUGCAUGUCUAAGUAUAAGCAAUCAUACUGUGAAACUGCGAAUGGCUCAUUAAAUCAGUUAUCGUUUAUUUGAUAGUACCUUUACCUGGAUAACCGUGGUAAUUCUAGAGCUAAUACAUGCUAAAAACCCCGACUUCGGAAGGGGUGUAUUUAUUAGAUAAAAAACCAAUGCCCUCUGGGCUCUUUGGUGAUUCAUAAUAACUUAACGAAUCGCAUGGCCUUGCGCCGGCGAUGGUUCAUUCAAAUUUCUGCCCUAUCAACUUUCGAUUGUAAGAUAGAGGCUUACAAUGGUAUUAACGGGUAACGGGGAAUUAGGGUUCUAUUCCGGAGAGGGAGCCUGAGAAACGGCUACCACAUCCAAGGAAGGCAGCAGGCGCGCAAAUUACCCAAUGCUAAUUCAGCGAGGUAGUGACAAUAAAUACUGAUACGGGGCUCUUUCGGGUCUCGUAAUUGGAAUGAGUACAAUCUAAAUCCCUUAACGAGGAACAAUUGGAGGGCAAGUCUGGUGCCAGCAGCCGCGGUAAUUCCAGCUCCAAUAGCGUAUAUUAAAGUUGUUGCCGUUAAAAAGCUCGUAGUUGAACCUUGGACCUGGCUGAUCUGUCCUCCUAAUCGAGCGCACGGAUUCGGUCGGGUCUUUCCUUCUGGGGAGCCCUAUGCCCUUCACUGGGUGUAGUGGGGAACCAGGACUUUUACCUUGAAAAAAUUAGAGUGUUCAAAGCAGGCCUUUGCUCGAAUACAUUAGCAUGGAAUAAUAGAAUAGGACAUCGGUUCUAUUUUGUUGGUUUCUAGGACCGCUGUAAUGAUUAAUAGGGAUAGUCGGGGGCGUCAGUAUUCAAUUGUCAGAGGUGAAAUUCUUGGAUUUAUUGAAGACUAACUACUGCGAAAGCAUUCGCCAAGGAUGUUUUCAUUAAUCAGUGAACGAAAGUUAGGGGAUCGAAGACGAUCAGAUACCGUCGUAGUCUUAACCAUAAACUAUGCCGACUAGGGAUCGGACGGUGGUUUUUUUAUGCCCCGUUCGGCACCUUACGAGAAAUCAAAGUUUUUGGGCUCGGGGGGGAGUAUGGUCGCAAGGCUGAAACUUAAAGAAAUUGACGGAAGGGCACCACCAGGCGCGGAGCCUGCGGCUUAAUUUGACCCAACACGGGGAAACUCACCAGGUCCAGACAUGCUUAGGAUUGACAGAUUGAUAGCUCUUUCUUGAUUGUAUGGGUGGUGGUGCAUGGCCGUUCUUAGUUGGUGGAGUGAUUUGUCUGCUUAAUUGCGAUAACGAACGAGACCUUGACCUGCUAAAUAGCCAGGUUGACUUUUGUCGGCCGCCGGCUUCUUA
rnacentral:rRNA from 1 species